UACGAAGGGGGCUAGCGUUGUUCGGAUUUACUGGGCGUAAAGCGCACGUAGGCGGUUUGUUAAGUCAGAGGUGAAAUCCCGGAGCUCAACUCCGGAACUGCCUUUGAUACUGGCAAGCUAGAGUCCGGAAGAGGUAAGUGGAACUCCUAGUGUAGAGGUGGAAUUCGUAGAUAUUAGGAAGAACACCAGUGGCGAAGGCGGCUUACUGGUCCGGAACUGACGCUGAGGUGCGAAAGCUAGGGGAGCAAACAGG
rnacentral:rRNA from 1 species